CUCCUGUCGAUAGCAUAAAAUUUUGACUGUACCUAAGUGAUAUGGUAGUCUAUAAGCGUACUUUCUCAAUGGUCUGUUCGGUUGCAGUCAAUUAUAACAGUGCAAAGGAUAACUUGGUUGAUGACCGCCAGCCCGUUGACAACAAUAACUAUAUCCAUUGGUUCCUCCUCCCGCAGCAAAGUUUCCGAUAGCUUAAGGAUGGCAUUAUUAAAUGUAUAUCUUAGAAGUUAAUAUGAUUGAUAUAUUGUAAUAAUUUUAAGAUAUAUUUUAUACUU
rnacentral:lncRNA from 1 species